rnacentral:rRNA from 1 species
CAAUAGCGUAUAUUAAAGUUGUUGCGGUUAAAAAGCUCGUAGUUGGAUUUCUGCUGAGGACGACCGGUCCGCCCUCUGGGUGAGUAUCUGGUUCGGCCUGGGCAUCUUCUUGGAGAGCGUAGCUGCACUUGACUGUGUGGUGCGGUAUCCAGGACUUUUACUUUGAGGAAAUUAGAGUGUUUCAAGCAGGCACACGCCUUGAAUACAUUAGCAUGGGAUAAUUUAAUAGGACUCUGGUGCUAUUUUGUUGGUUUCGAACACCGGAGUAAUGAUUAAAAGGGGCAGUCAGGGGCACUCGUAUUCCGUCGAGAGAGGUGAAAUUCUCAGACCAAUGGAAGACGAACCACUGCGAAAGCAUUUGCCAGGGAUGUUUUCACUGAUCAAGAACGAAAGUUAGGGGAUCGAAGACGAUUAGAU